GAUGAACGCUAGCUACAGGCUUAACACAUGCAAGUCGAGGGGUAACAAGAGAAAAGCUUGCUUUUCUUGUUGACGACCGGCGCACGGGUGAGUAACGCGUAUCCAACCUGCCUAUAACUAGGGAAUAACCUUGCGAAAGUAAGACUAAUACCCUAUGAUUUCCUUUGAUGACAUCAGAUUAGGAAUAAAGAUUUAUCGGUUAUAGAUGGGGAUGCGUCUGAUUAGCCUGUUGGCGGGGUAACGGCCCACCAAGGCAACGAUCAGUAGGGGUUCUGGGAGGAAGGUCCCCCACAUUGGAACUGAGACACGGUCCAAACUCCUACGGGAGGCAGCAGUGAGGAAUAUUGGUCAAUGGGCGGAAGCCUGAACCAGCCAAGUAGCGUGCAGGAUGACGGCCCUAUGGGUUGUAAACUGCUUUUAUACAGGAAUAAAGUUAGCCACGUGUGGUUAUUUGUAGGUACUGUAUGAAUAAGGACCGGCUAAUUCCGUGCCAGCCGCCGCGGUAA
rnacentral:rRNA from 1 species